rnacentral:rRNA from 1 species
AGUGGGGAAUAUUGCACAAUGGGCGCAAGCCUGAUGCAGCAACGCCGCGUGGGGGAUGAAGGCCUUCGGGUUGUAAACCCCUUUUAGCAGGGAAGAAGCGAAAGUGACGGUACCUGCAGAAAAAGCGCCGGCUAACUACGUGCCAGCAGCCGCGGUAAUACGUAGGGCGCAAGCGUUGUCCGGAAUUAUUGGGCGUAAAGAGCUCGUAGGCGGUUUGUCGCGUCUGCUGUGAAAGUUCGAGGCUCAACCUCGAAUCUGCAGUGGGUACGGGCAGACUAGAGUGUGGUAGGGGAGACUGGAAUUCCUGGUGUAGCGGUGGAAUGCGCAGAUAUCAGGAGGAAUACCAAUGGCGAAGGCAGGUCUCUGGGCCAUAACUGACGCUGAGGAGCGAAAGCGUGGGGAGCGAACAGGAUUAGAUACCCUGGUAGUCCACGCCGUAAACGGUGGGCACUAGAUGUGGGGCUCUUUCCAUGAGUUCCGCGUCGCAGCUAACGCAUUAAGUGCCCCGCCUGGGGAGUACGGCCGCAAGGCUAAAACUCAAAGGAAUUGACGGGGGCCCGCACAAGCGGCGGAGCAUGCGGAUUAAUUCGAUGCAACGCGAAGAACCUUACCAAGGCUUGACAUAUGCGGUCUAUCCCUAGAGAUAGGGAGUGCUUCGGCGCCGUAUACAGGUGGUGCAUGGUUGUCGUCAGCUCGUGUCGUGAGAUGUUGGGUUAAGUCCCGCAACGAGCGCAACCCUCGUUCUAUGUUGCCAGCGCGUAAUGGCGGGGACUCAUAGGAGACUGCCGGGGUCAACUCGGAGGAAGGUGGGGAUGACGUCAAAUCAUCAUGCCCCUUAUGUCUUGGGCUUCACGCAUGCUACAAUGGCCGGUACAAAGGGCUGCGAUACCGCAAGGUGGAGCGAAUCCCAAAAAGCCGGUCUCAGUUCGGAUUGAGGUCUGCAACUCGACCUCAUGAAGUCGGAGUCGCUAGUAAUCGCAGAUCAGCAACGCUGCGGUGAAUACGUUCCCGGGCCUUGUACACACCGCCCGUCAAGUCACGAAAGUCGGUAACACCCGACGCCGGUGGCCUAACCCGUAAGGGAGGGAGCCGUCUAAGGUGGGAUUGGCGAUUGGGACU